AUUGAACGCUGGCGGAAUGCUUUACACAUGCAAGUCGAACGGCAGCACGGACUUCGGUCUGGUGGCGAGUGGCGAACGGGUGAGUAAUGUAUCGGAACGUGCCCAGUCGUGGGGGAUAACGUAGUGAAAAUUACGCUAAUACCGCAUACGAUCUAUGGAUGAAAGCGGGGGAUCGCAAGACCUCGCGCGAUUGGAGUGGCCGAUAUCAGAUUAGGUAGUUGGUGGGGUAAAGGCCCACCAAGCCAACGAUCUGUAGCUGGUCUGAGAGGACGACCAGCAACACUGGAACUGAGACACGGUCCAGACUCCUACUGGAGGCAGCAGUGGGGAAUUUUGGACAAUGGGCGCAAGCCUGAUCCAGCCAUUCCGCGUGCAGGAUGAAGGCCCUCGGGUUGUAAACUGCUUUUGUACAGAACGAAAAGGUUUCUACUAAUACUAGGAGCUCAUGACGGUACUGUAAGAAUAAGCACCGGCUAACUACGUGCCAGCCGCCGCGGUAA
rnacentral:rRNA from 1 species